GGCCUGUGUCUGUUGGCAGAAAGCAUCACUGACAAUCUUCUGAUGCUUCCUCCUUUUGUCCUUCUCGAGGUGUCCUCCAAACAGAGCGCUGACGAGCACCCAGAGAGCGGCAGAGUCUCCAGAGCCCCGGGCGGCAGCCACGGGAGGCCUGAGAGGCAGUCGGGCAGCUCGGCCAUCUCGUACGACUGCUCGGAAGAGGAGCUGAUGGCCAGCAUCGAGCGGGAGUACUGUCGCUGAGGCUGCUGGAGCUGCCCUGCAGGCCCCCCGGCCCCCCGACCAGACUGGGGUUGCACCCCCGCCCCUGCCCCCUGCCCAGGCUCUGGCUGGAGCUGAGCCCCCUCCAACAUGCAGUUACUCCUGGCUCUUUCGAAAGAUCCGGCUUCAAGCUUGCUGGCAAGUGGUGCUCAGCGUGCAGACCCAGGCGUGAAGGCAGACACAGGGGCCGUCCCGCCGGUGGGUGCGCAGGUGCUCUCCCAGCUACUCCUCCCGCAGUGUCUGCGGAGGGCUUGUCGGCGGGCUUCUCCUGGAGCCUGAGAUGCUUCCCCUGUCGGAUGGCCCUCUCUGCACCGGGACUGGGGACAGCUCAUCAGACUGGUUCCCUUGGGGCCUCUAACACGUCCUGGUUCUCCACAGCAACUGCCCGGAGAUGUUGACGCGUGCAUUACUGUUCUGUGGCUCUGGGGCGGGGCCGGAGAGUCUGCAUGUCUAACCAGCCCCUGGGUGAGACCCGAGCUCCUGGAACCCAGCCUCGCUCGGGGUAGGAAGGAUUGAGUCUAAGCUUUAGACCUUACCCAACUCUUCCUUCCUGGCGCUGGGGCUGCUGAGAGCCACAGCCCGCCUGCCUCCCUGGAGAGAGGCCUGCGCCCCUCCUUGGCAGGUGUGAGGGACGGAGAGCACAGGACCGGGAGCUGGAGCCCUCAGUUAACUAACAUGCAGCCACUUUCACCCUGUGGGCCUCAGUUUCCCUCCCUAGAAAUUGAGUCCUGGAGGCUCUUCCAGGCAUUCCAGCCCCAACAAUCCAGGCUUCCUUGAUCUCUGCUGUUCUGCCCUCCCCCUGGGGCACAGAGCUGCCUCUGCAGCUGCGGCGGGUGGGGGGGCACCCCGGCCCCACCUGGAGGAGGUCCUGAGGAACACCUGCUCUCACCAGCCUGAUGGGACUGGUUUACUCUCGUCCCACCUGGGAGAAGGUACAGCGUCCCCGCAUUGAGGCCAGAAGAGCCCAAGAACGUUCCCAGCGGACAGAUGAGAAAGCCGGUUUGCCAGGGAUGUCUGUGAAUCCAAGGCAGGGCCAGGGGAGCCACAGGCUGACUGGAAGGUGGGACUCCUGGGGGGCACAGGCGUGGCCGGCCUUGGAAGAAGUUUCUGGCUGGCGUGCGGUUCGGGGGCCAGGUGGCAGGCCCCUCAGGAGCAGCUGGGAGGGCUUCAGAACAAAGGGGCACGUGGGUGUGACGUCAGCUUUUGCCAAAGCCAGAAUAGGUCUCAGCUUGUCACAGUUACCACCAACACAGAGCCUCCCUGGCGUCGCCUGCAACAUGCAAGAGCUUCUGGGACACAGACGCAGGGCCCGUUGGCGCUGUCCCCAGACCCACAGGCCUGCUGUCGUCGCAGGCAAACGGGUGUUUCCAUGAACUUUUAUUGCUUGGCAAGGCGGCCUUUGAUCAGGUGUUCCAUCACCCGGAGAUUCUUACUGCCGAGCCGGAGGAUGGCGCGUGGAGCCUUCCGACAACGGUCGCCGACGGAGUGGCUCCGAAACCCCCCAAAGCGAGAGCUACUCCCCAUCCAAGCCCAAAUCAUUUCUUUCGAUCAAAGAGGAAAGCCAUUACUAUUUUAAUAAUACAAAUAUUUCUCUUAAAAGCAGUUAAUAUUUUCUUUCUCACCACCAGACAGAUCAGGCCUUGAAUUUAAUGACGUAAAAUGUUUACAGUUUUACAUCAUUAUUUUGUUAAAAUGGAACACAUUCAGCCAGUUUCCCGCAUUUUCCAGUGGAAACCUCAUACAACGAUUCAUGAGAUAAAAGUGUUCAGAAAAAGAAGAAUUCGUCCUGUGGUUACU